UGGGGAAUAUUGGACAAUGGGCGAAAGCCUGAUCCAGCCAUGCCGCGUGAGUGAUGAAGGCCCUAGGGUUGUAAAGCUCUUUUGUGCGGGAAGAUAAUGACGGUACCGCAAGAAUAAGCCCCGGCUAACUUCGUGCCAGCAGCCGCGGUAAUACGAAGGGGGCUAGCGUUGCUCGGAAUCACUGGGCGUAAAGGGUGCGUAGGCGGGUUUCUAAGUCAGAGGUGAAAGCCUGGAGCUCAACUCCAGAACUGCCUUUGAUACUGGAAGUCUUGAGUUCGGGAGAGGUGAGUGUAACUGCGAGUGUAGAGGUGAAAUUCGUAGAUAUUCGCAAUAACACCAGUGGCGAAGGCGGCUCACUGGCCCGAUACUGACGCUGAGGCACGAAAGCGUGGGGAGCAAACA
rnacentral:rRNA from 1 species